GAGAAAUGGCUGCAGUGGAGUCAGUCCAGGGGCCGGUGACCUUCAAGGAGAUGGCUAUGUAUUUCACCAGGGAAGAGUGGGCUCUGCUGGACCCCACUCAGAGAGCCCUCUACUGGGAUGUCAUGCAGGAGAACUAUGAGACUGUGACCUCGCUGGGCCAGAGAAUAACAUCCAUGUUUCGCUGCAGAUCAUCUCGUCCUCCCAGGGGCAAGGAAAUGGCUGCAAUGGAGCUGGCUC